GAAUUCAUGUCCUGACACAGUACUUUAAGAGACCAACACAGAAAAGUAAAGGAACUCUCCAUAAAACCUAGAGAAGAGAUUGUACAUCUCCUCUUUGGAUCCUGUCUGGAGUCACACUG
rnacentral:snoRNA from 1 species